CUGAGCAUCAGGCGUGAAAAGUCACUGCUGUGCAUCUUACUGUAGUUGGAGUGAACGUCAUCAAUAUCCUUCUCAGACUGAUUCUUUGUGAAAACCAUGACCUG